GCGAAUACCGGAGAAUGUUAUCACGGGAGACACACGGCGGGUGCUAACGUCCGUCGUGAAGAGGGAAACAACCCAGACCGCCAGCUAAGGUCCCAAAGUCAUGGUUAAGUGGGAAACGAUGUGGGAAGGCCCAGACAGCCAGGAUGUUGGCUUAGAAGCAGCCAUCAUUUAAAGAAAGCGUAAUAGCUCACUGGUCGAGUCGGCCUGCGCGGAAGAUGUAACGGGGCUAAACCAUGCACCGAAGCUGCGGCAGCGACACUGUGUGUUGUUGGGUAGGGGAGCGUUCUGUAAGCCUGUGAAGGUGGCCUGUGAGGGUUGCUGGAGGUAUCAGAAGUGCGAAUGCUGACAUAAGUAACGAUAAAGCGGGUGAAAAGCCCGCUCGCCGGAAGACCAAGGGUUCCUGUCCAACGUUAAUCGGGGCAGGGUGAGUCGACCCCUAAGGCGAGGCCGAAAGGCGUAGUCGAUGGGAAACGGGUUAAUAUUCCCGUACUUGGUGUUACUGCGAAGGGGGGACGGAGAAGGCUAUGUUGGCCGGGCGACGGUUGUCCCGGUUUAAGCGUGUAGGUGUGUGUUCCAGGUAAAUCCGGUUCACUUUAACACUGAGGCGUGA
rnacentral:rRNA from 1 species